UACAGAGGGUGCGAGCGUUAUUCGGAAUUACUGGGCGUAAAGCGCACGUAGUCGGCUUUGCAAGUCGGGUGUGAAAUCCCCGGGCUCAACCUGGGAACUGCAUCCGAGACUGCAUUGCUAGAGUAUGGGAGAGGGAUGCAGAAUUCCAGGUGUAGCGGUGAAAUGCGUAGAUAUCUGGAGGAAUACCGGUGGCGAAGGCGGCAUCCUGGACCGACAUUGACGCUGAGGAGCGAAACCUAGGGGAGCAAACGGG
rnacentral:rRNA from 1 species